UGCUGGGCCGUGCUGGACCGUGGAGAGGUCCAGGGGAGAGCAGAUGAGACUAGAAGGUGCUCCAGGCAUCGGAACAGCAGCUAACUACUGAUGGGGACGUAUUUCAAGACACAACUAGGAAGAUCUGUGAACCUGGGGCUCUUGGUCCAGCUCUGGGAUCCCAGGGGAGCUCUGGCCCAGUCAGGCAGGGUUCAGCAGUUACCAGCCCCAGGCCAGUGAUGGCUAGAGAGGGCCAUGGCAUAUACUCCUGGGAUGUUAUGCUAAGCAUGGGCCCCACUCACCACUGAGAAGUUGUGGGGACCACAGGGGCCCCCGCAGUAAGAACAAUAGAGCAGCAUGUCUUCCAGCCGGUGGCAGGAACGAUUGUAGAACCGAUGGAGAUUAAAGGGCUCCCCGGAGAAAGCCUCUGGCCCAGGUGGAGCAAGGGGCACCCCAGGAUCAUCACUUUCAUCCAGCCCUAGCAUGGGGGCCAGGUAGAGCAAGUCAGGGUAGCUGAGCUGGGACAACCGGACGGCAUUGGUGUUACAGAGUGUGACUGCCGGGAACACCAGCUCUGUGGUGGCCACUUCAUCUAGCAAAGUCACAUGUGGGUAGCUGAGGUAAUAAGCCACUCGGUCGCCUACCUGGCACAGGAAGGCACCCAGUGCUAUGACAAAGGCCACGGCCCACAGGACCUGCCUCGGCCCCGGGCCCCCUUCCACAAAGACAUGGCUGGCACCAUGGAGGGUACAGCUGUUGGCGAAGGCCACCAAGUCCCUAGCUUGCCUUCCCCCACUUAAAAAAAAAAAAAAAAAGCCAACCAGUUUGGAAGAGGAGUGUGAGAAGUUCUCUCCAGUGGGUGGAAGAGAUUGUGGCCAGUGUGGAGACAGAAGGUCCUGGGGCAGUAUGACCUUGUGUGGGAGCGUGGGAGUGUGGCAGUCAGGAGACAAUUUUCAGAAAUCGGUUUUCCUUUUCCACACUGGGCUCUCAGGACCAGACUCAAGCUAUCAGACCCUGCGCUUUUACCUGCCGAGUCAUCUUGCUGGCCCUGAUGACAUCAUCAGCAUUAUUAUUAUUGUUGUUGUUAUUUUCAACAUGGUUUCACUCUGUAGCCCAGGCUGGCCUCGAACUCACAGAAAUCCAACUGUCUCUGCCUC